rnacentral:tRNA from 1 species
GUUGGGGUGGCAGAGCCCGGUUAUUGCCAAAGACCUAAGCCCUUUACAUAGAGGUUCAAAUCCUCUUCCCAACU